CCUACGGGUGGCAGCAGUGGGGAAUAUUGGACAAUGGGGGCAACCCUGAUCCAGCCAUGCCGCGUGUGUGAAGAAUGCCCUCGGGUUGUAAAGCACUUUCAGUGAGGAAGAACGCCUGGUGGUUAAUACCCAUCAGGAAAGACAUCACUCACAGAAGAAGCACCGGCUAACUCCGUGCCAGCAGCCGCGGUAAUACGGAGGGUGCGAGCGUUAAUCGGAAUUACUGGGCGUAAAGCGCGCGUAGGUGGCUUGAUAAGCCGGUUGUGAAAGCCCCGGGCUCAACCUGGGAACGGCAUCCGGAACUGUCAAGCUAGAGUGCAGGAGAGGAAGGUAGAAUUCCCGGUGUAGCGGUGAAAUGCGUAGAGAUCGGGAGGAAUACCAGUGGCGAAGGCGGCCUUCUGGACUGACACUGACACUGAGGUGCGAAAGCGUGGGUAGCAAACAGGAUUAGAUACCCUGGUAGUC
rnacentral:rRNA from 1 species